UACGUAGGUGGCAAGCGUUGUCCGGAUUUACUGGGCGUAAAGGAUGCGUAGGCGGACAUUUAAGUCAGAUGUGAAAUACCCGAGCUUAACUUGGGUGCUGCAUUUGAAACUGGGUGUCUAGAGUGCAGGAGAGGUAAGUGGAAUUCCUAGUGUAGCGGUGAAAUGCGUAGAUAUUAGGAAGAACACCAGUGGCGAAGGCGGCUCACUGGCCCGGUACUGACGCUGAGGCGCGAAAGCGUGGGGAGCAAACAGG
rnacentral:rRNA from 1 species